rnacentral:ncRNA from 1 species
GUUAGGGGUGCCCACACACGGUGGGCUGAGAUUACACCCUACGAACCUGAUCCGGGUCAUACCGGCGGAGGAAAACC